rnacentral:sRNA from 1 species
GCUGGGCAUGGUGGCCCAUGCCUGUAAUCCCAGUAACUUGGGAGACUGAGGCAGGAGGAUCACAAGUUCAAAGCCAGCCUCAGCAAUUUAGUGAGGACCUAAGCAACUUAGUGAGACCCUGUCUCAA